CAGAUUGGUUGUCAACAAAUCUCACCAUUAGGACCAACCAGCAUCAAUCAGGGAACUCAUGUAUAAGAUUCGGAUCUGAUGGAACAACCACAUUGGUGGUCAAAAGCCAAAGCUGACCACUCCAACACAACCUAAGACAUUUGUGCUCCAAGACAACGUCAAGACAUUUGGUAGCUGAGAAUUUAGAAUUGGAAUGCAUUGCAGGAGCAAGGAGCAACUACACAAGAAUUAGUCUUUAAAUGAA